GACGAACGCUGGCGGCGUGCUUAACACAUGCAAGUCGAGCGGAAAGGCCCUUCGGGGUACUCGAGCGGCGAACGGGUGAGUAACACGUGGGUAACCUGCCCUUCACUCUGGGAUAACUCCGGGAAACCGGGGCUAAUACCGGAUACGACCACUUUAGGCACCUUCGGUGGUGGAAAGUUUUUCGGUGGAGGAUGGACCCGCGGCCUAUCAGCUUGUUGGUGGGGUAAUGGCCUACCAAGGCAGUGACGGGUAGCCGGCCUGAGAGGGCGACCGGCCACACUGGGACUGAGACACGGCCCAGACUCCUACGGGGGGCAGCAGUGGGGAAUAUUGCGCAAUGGGCGGAAGCCUGACGCAGCGACGCCGCGUGAGGGAUGACGGCCUGG
rnacentral:rRNA from 1 species